GACGAACGCUGGCGGCGUGCUUAACACAUGCAAGUCGAACGAUGAACCGGAGCUUGCUCUGGGGAUUAGUGGCGAACGGGUGAGUAACACGUGGGCAACCUGCCCCAGACACCGGGAUAACCAUUCGAGAGGAUGGCUAAUACCGGAUACGACCACUUCGGGCAUCCGAUGGUGGUGGAAAGGAUUCUGGUCUGGGAUGGGCCCGCGGCCUAUCAGCUUGUUGGUGGGGUAAUGGCCUACCAAGGCGACGACGGGUAGCCGGCCUGAGAGGGUGACCGGUCACACUGGGACUGAGACACGGCCCAGACUCCUACGGGAGGCAGCAGUGGGGAAUAUUGCGCAAUGGGCGAAAGCCUGACGCAGCGACGCCGCGUGAGGGACGAAGGUCUUCGGAUUGUAAACCUCUUUCAGCAGGGAUGAAGCGAAAGUGACAGUACCUGCAGAAGAAGCACCGGCUAACUACGUGCCAGCCGCCGCAGUAACAC
rnacentral:rRNA from 1 species